rnacentral:rRNA from 1 species
UACGAAGGGGGCUAGCGUUGCUCGGAAUCACUGGGCGUAAAGCGCACGUAGGCGGAUUGCUAAGUCAGGGGUGAAAUCCUGGAGCUCAACUCCAGAACUGCCCUUGAUACUGGCGGUCUCGAGUCCGGGAGAGGUGAGUGGAACUGCGAGUGUAGAGGUGAAAUUCGUAGAUAUUCGCAAGAACACCAGUGGCGAAGGCGGCUCACUGGCCCGAGUACUGACGCUGAGGUGCGAAAGCGUGGGAGCAACAGGGAUUAAGAUACCCGUGGUAGUCCAGAACCACGAUCUCCAGUCUCCGUGA